UACGGAGGGUGCAAGCGUUGUCCGGAUUUAUUGGGUUUAAAGGGUGCGUAGGUGGUUUGAUAAGUCCGGGGUGAAAGCCCACAGCUCAACUGUGGAACUGCCCUGGAUACUGUCAGACUUGAGGGUAGACGAGGUUGGCGGAAUAGAAGGUGUAGCGGUGAAAUGCAUAGAUACCUUCUAGAACCCCGAUUGCGUAGGCAGCUGACUAGGCUACACCUGACACUGAGGCACGAAAGUGUGGGGAUCAAACAGG
rnacentral:rRNA from 1 species